GCUUUCCUCUGUGACCAGGAACACCAGAAUAAAUCUCCAGACUCCUUGGUCUGUUUCUCACCCGAUCUCCCUAGAAAGCUUCUUAUGAGUGACUGAUGCUUCUCCAUUUGAGAGCACUCUUUGGAUGGGUAAAGUGAUAUAAUCUGUGUAAAAGCAGAACCUUGAACCUUCAUCUCCAAACAGCUUCUCUCCUAAUGAAGGAUCAACUUCUGUUAAUUCUUUUACUCAGAGCAGUGAGGAGUAUCAGAACAUGGAAGGAACAGUACUUCUGUCUCAGUAGUGGGGAAGGUUAUCUCAGCACCACAAUCCGGAGGUUUGAGCCCAAGGUUCCAGCUAGCAAAUCAGCCAAGAAUAGCAGCCUGUACUUGAAGAUGGACUUCAGCCACCUCACGCUUGCCCAAAUGGGUUAGUGCCGGUCAUGCUCCAGCUUGACCCAAGUCACUUGAAAAUUAUUUCAGGUGUACACAUUUAAACAAGCCGCAGAUGUGUUUGGGGAUCACGAUGGAGACAAAAAUCAUGGGAACAAGGACAGCAUCUCUUGAAGGCUUCGCUGUAAGCAGAAAUCCUCAGCAGGGCACUCAAUGGUGCACUGUUUGCCACUGACCACAUUGG